ACUCCUACGGGUGGCUGCAGUAGGGAAUCUUCCACAAUGGGUGCAAACCUGAUGGAGCAAUGCCGCGUGAGUGAAGAAGGUCUUCGGAUCGUAAAGCUCUGUUGUUAGAGAAGAACACGUGCUAGGUAACUACUAGCGCCUUGACGGUAUCUAACCAGAAAGUCACGGCUAACUACGUGCCAGCAGCCGCGGUAAUACGUAGGUGACAAGCGUUGUCCGGAUUUAUUGGGCGUAAAGGGAGCGCAGGCGGUCUGUUUAGUCUAAUGUGAAAGCCCACGGCUUAACCGUGGAACGGCAUUGGAAACUGACAGACUUGAAUGUAGAAGAGGAAAAUGGAAUUCCAAGUGUAGCGGUGGAAUGCGUAGAUAUUUGGAGGAACACCAGUGGCGAAGGCGAUUUUCUGGUCUAACAUUGACGCUGAGGCUCGAAAGCGUGGGGAGCGAACAGGAUUAGAUACCCUGGUAGUCCACGCCGUAAACGAUGAGUGCUAAGUGUUGGGGGCUUUCCGGCCCUCGGUGCUGGAGCUAACGUAUUAAGCACUCCGCCUGGGGAUUACGACCGCAAGGUUGAAACUCAAAAGAAUUGACGGGGACCCGCACAAGCGGUGGAGCAUGUGGUUUAAUUCGAAGCAACGCGAAGAACCUUACCAGCUCUUGACAUCUUCUGACAACUCUAGAGAUAGAGCGUUCCCUUCGGGGACAGAAUGACAGGUGAUGCAUGGGUGUCGUCAGCUCG
rnacentral:rRNA from 1 species